UACAGAGGUCCCAAGCGUUGUUCGGAUUCAUUGGGCGUAAAGAGCGUGUAGGCGGCCCGGUAAGUCCGCUGUGAAAGUCCAGGGCUCAACCCUGGGAUGCCGGUGGAUACUGUCGGGCUCGAGUCCGGAAGAGGAGUGUGGAAUUCCUGGUGUAGCGGUGAAAUGCGCAGAUAUCAGGAGGAACACCAAUGGCGAAGGCAGCACUCUGGGACGUGACUGACGCUGAGACGCGAAAGCGUGGGGAGCAAACAGG
rnacentral:rRNA from 1 species